UACGAAGGGGGCUAGCGUUGCUCGGAUUGACUGGGCGUAAAGGGCGCGUAGGCGGUUCGUACAGUCAGACGUGAAAUUCCUGGGCUCAACCUGGGGGCUGCGUUUGAUACGUGCGGACUUGAGUGCGGAAGAGGGUCGUGGAAUUCCCAGUGUAGAGGUGAAAUUCGUAGAUAUUGGGAAGAACACCGGUGGCGAAGGCGGCGAGCUGGUCUGCACCUGACGCUGAGGCGCGAUAGCGUGGGGAGCAAACAGG
rnacentral:rRNA from 1 species